rnacentral:misc_RNA from 1 species
GAUGAAGAACGUAGCGAAAUGCGAUAAGUAAUGUGAAUUGCAGAAUUCAGUGAAUCAUCGAAUCUUUGAACGCGCAUUGCGCCCCCUGGUAUUCCGGGGGGCAUGCCUGUCCGAGCGUCAUUACAACCCUCAAGCUCAGCUUGGUAUUGGGCCCCGCCGACCCGGCGGGCCCUAAAGUCAGUGGCGGUGCCGUCCGGCUCCGAGCGUAGUAAUUCUUCUCGCUCUGGAGGUCCGGUCGUGUGCUCGCCAGCAACCCCCAAUUUUUUUCAGGUUGACCUCGGAUCAGGUAGGGAUACCCGCUGAACUUAAGCAUAUCAAUAAGCGGAGGA